UCGUGCUAGGCGGGGCGCUAGCGGUGCCCUGUACCCGCAAUCCGCUACAGCGGGGCUGAAUUCCCCUCCGCGGGUCGUUGGUUGUCGGUCUCCUUGCUCGGCGGGCGGCGUUGAACGCCGGGUCCUCUGCGACGCUGAGACGUGAACCUGGUCAGGUCCGGAAGGAAGCAGCCAUAAGCGAAUCUUCAGCGGGCGCCGGAGGGUUGCCUGGCCGGAGCCGUUUCGUCGGACAAGCCCGGCGGCCUCGGUUCAACGAGGGGUGCACGG
rnacentral:SRP_RNA from 1 species